rnacentral:tRNA from 1 species
AAGGUCUUAGCUUAAGUAAAGUAUCUGAGUUGCAUUCAGGUGAUGUGGGGUGAUCUCGCAGUCCUUA